rnacentral:rRNA from 1 species
AGAGUUUGAUCCUGGCUCAGGACGAACGCUGGCGGCGUGCUUAACACAUGCAAGUCGAACGAUGAAAGUGGGAGCUUGCUCCUACUGGAUUAGUGGCGAACGGGUGAGUAACACGUGAGCAAUCUGCCCCAGACUCCGGGAUAACUCCGAGAAAUCGGUGCUAAUACCGGAUACGAACUGAGACCGCAUGGUCAUUAGUUGGAAAGAACUUCGGUCAGGGAUGAGCUCGCGGCCUAUCAGCUAGUUGGUGAGGUAAUGGCUCACCAAGGCGACGACGGGUAGCCGGCCUGAGAGGGUGACCGGCCACACUGGGACUGAGACACGGCCCAGACUCCUACGGGAGGCAGCAGUGGGGAAUAUUGCACAAUGGGCGCAAGCCUGAUGCAGCAACGCCGCGUGAGGGACGAAGGCCUUCGGGUUGUAAACCUCUUUUAGCAGGGAAGAAGCGAAAGUGACGGUACCUGCAGAAAAAGCACCGGCUAACUACGUGCCAGCAGCCGCGGUAAUACGUAGGGUGCAAGCGUUGUCCGGAAUUAUUGGGCGUAAAGAGCUCGUAGGCGGUUUGUCGCGUCUGCUGUGAAAAUCCGAGGCUCAACCUCGGACCUGCAGUGGGUACGGGCAAACUAGAGUGCGGUAGGGGAGAUUGGAAUUCCUGGUGUAGCGGUGGAAUGCGCAGAUAUCAGGAGGAACACCAAUGGCGAAGGCAGAUCUCUGGGCCGUAACUGACGCUGAGGAGCGAAAGCGUGGGGAGCGAACAGGAUUAGAUACCCUGGUAGUCCACGCCGUAAACGGUGGGAACUAGAUGUGGGGUCCGUUCCACGGAUUCCGUGUCGCAGCUAACGCAUUAAGUUCCCCGCCUGGGGAGUACGGCCGCAAGGCUAAAACUCAAAGGAAUUGACGG